rnacentral:rRNA from 1 species
CGAGUCGCAAGACUAGUGGCGAACGGGUGAGUAACACGUAGGAAUCUGCCCCAGAGCGGAGAAUACCCAGCCGAAAGGUUGGCUAAUGCUCCAUAGUCCCGCAAGGGUAAAGUCCGCCUCGGCGGACACUUUGGGAGGAGCCUGCGUCCUAUCAGCUAGUUGGUGAGGUAAUGGCUUACCAAGGCUAUGACGGGUAGGGGGUGUGAGAGCAUGACCCCCCACAAUGGGACUGAGACACGGCCCAUACUCCUACGGGAGGCAGCAGUUGGGAAUUGUACACAAUGGGCGCAAGCCUGAUGUCGCGACGCCGCGUGGAGGAAGAAGGCCUUCGGGUUGUAAACUUCUUUUCCCAGGGAAGAUUGUGACGGUACCUGGGGAAUAAGGACCCGCUAACUACGUGCCAGCAGCUGCGGUAAUACGUAGGGUCCAAGCGUUAUCCGGAUUUAUUGGGCGUAAAGCACAUGUAGGUGGAUUGAUGCGUCUCCUUUUAAAGCUCUGGGCUUAACCCAGAAUCUGGAGGAGAUACGGUCUUUCUAGUGGUCAGCAGGGGCAAACGGAAUUCCUGGUGUAGGAGUGAAAUCCGUUGAUAUCAGGAGGAACACCGAUGGCGAAGGCAGUUUGCUAGGCUGAUUCAGACACUGAGAUGUGAAAGCGUGGGGAGCGAACGGGAUUAGAUACCCCGGUAGUCCACGCCGUAAACGAUGCACACUAGGCAUUGGGAGUAUCGACCCUCCUUGUGCCGAAGCUAACGCGUUAAGUGUGCCGCCUGGGAAGUACGGUCGCAAGACUAAAACUCAAAGGAAUUGACGGGGGGCUCGCACAAGCGGGUGGAGCAUGUG